CAAUAGAUAGCGAGAUAUGAGAGUUUUGGCUAGCUAACCUUGCUAAAAAAAAGUGCUAGUCAAGAUGUUUAACUUUUUCGCGUUGAGGCUCUGGAUACCAAUUUGUACCAUUUAGCUGCCUGCAGAGUCAUAAAGAGAAAGAGUUGCGUCAAUUGCCUUUACGUUCAUGGUACUGUACUGUACUGUACUGUAGGCUAGUUAGAACUAGAGCGAGCUAGCAUCAGUUUCAAACACAGCAGCAUCGUCGUUGAGGAACAGUUGUACUGUACUGUAUGAUGGAGUUGUGCCAAGUCUGGCAUUGCUACUGAUGUUGAUGUGAGCUGAAAAGGAGGCCCAGUGCCUUGGAGGUGGAUGUCAGACCACUGGACGAAGGAGCGCUGGAUGGGAGACCACUAGUUGAAGGAGCGCUGGAUGGGAGACCACUGGAUGAGAGAUUUCUGGAUGAGGGAAAAUGUGAUGGAGUGGGCUGUCUUAUAUUUAAACCACAGUAUUUUUGUCAUUACUAUGCUUUUAAUUGUGGUCGUUAUUGAGUUAUAUUGAGUUUGCUCCAGUUGACUUUAGCAAACCACCUCUUUCUCCUCUCACUAUCAGCUGGGAAGCCGUAGCCUACAUCACGACUCCCUAUUUGGAGCAUGCAAUACAUCCCCAUGCAUCACACCCAACCAUUAUGAAAUCCAAGAUGCUAGGUGCAAGACCAA